rnacentral:rRNA from 1 species
GUGUGCUUACAAGUAGUCAGAGCCCGUUAAUGGGUGAUGGCGUGCCUUUUGUAGAAUGAACCGGCGAGUUACGAUUUGAUGCAAGGUUAAGCAGUAAAUGUGGAGCCGUAGCGAAAGCGAGUCUGAAUAGGGCGUUUAGUAUUUGGUCGUAGACCCGAAACCAGGUGAUCUACCCUUGGUCAGGUUGAAGUUCAGGUAACACUGAAUGGAGGACCGAACCGACUUACGUUGAAAAGUGAGCGGAUGAACUGAGGGUAGCGGAGAAAUUCCAAUCGAACCUGGAGAUAGCUGGUUCUCUCCGAAAUAGCUUUAGGGCUAGCCUCAAGUGAUGAUUAUUGGAGGUAGAGCACUGUUUGGACGAGGGGCCCCUCUCGGGUUACCGAAUUCAGACAAACUCCGAAUGCCAAUUAAUUUAACUUGGGAGUCAGAACAUGGGUGAUAAGGUCCGUGUUCGAAAGGGAAACAGCCCAGACCACCAGCUAAGGUCCCAAAAUAUAUGUUAAGUGGAAAAGGAUGUGGCGUUGCCCAGACAACUAGGAUGUUGGCUUAGAAGCAGCCAUCAUUUAAAGAGUGCGUAAUAGCUCACUAGUCGAGUGACACUGCGCCGAAAAUGUACCGGGGCUAAACAUAUUACCGAAGCUGUGGAUUGUCCUUUGGACAAUGGUAGGAGAGCGUUCUAAGGGCGUUGAAGCAUGAUCGUAAGGACAUGUGGAGCGCUUAGAAGUGAGAAUGCCGGUGUGAGUAGCGAAAGACGGGUGAGAAUCCCGUCCACCGAUUGACUAAGGUUUCCAGAGGAAGGCUCGUCCGCUCUGGGUUAGUCGGGUCCUAAGCUGAGGCCGACAGGCGUAGGCGAUGGAUAACAGGUUGAUAUUCCUGUACCACCUAUAAUCGUUUUAAUCGAUGGGGGGACGCAGUAGGAUAGGCGAAGCGUGCGAUUGGAUUGCACGUCUAAGCAGUAAGGCUGAGUAUUAGGCAAAUCCGGUACUCAUU